GUAGCUGAUCUUUUUGUUACAAAAAAGAUAUGUGCACACCUCGAUUUCCAAAUCUUACACCAUGUGCACUUUUUGUAGAUUGACUUUUGUUGGUCUAUGUCUUUUCUUAAACACACACCUAAAAGUUAAGAAUGUUGGGACAUGAAGCUUUUUGCUUUUAUAAUAAUAUAACUUUCAACAACGGAUCUCUUGGCUCUUGCAUCGAUGAAGAACGCAGCGAAAUGCGAUAAGUAAUGUGAAUUGCAGAAUUCAGUGAAUCAUCGAAUCUUUGAACGCACCUUGCACCCCUUGGUAUUCCGAGGGGUAUGCCUGUUUGAGUGUCAUUAAAUUAUCAAACAUUCUUCAUUUAUCUGAAGAGGUUUGGAUUUUGAAGUGUUGCUGGCUUUUCAAAGUUGGCUCCUUUUAAAUACAUUAGCUAUGCAGAUAAGCUUUUGGUUUGAUAAAUAUCUAUGCUAAUGGCUUUGAAGUGAAUGUUAGCUUCUAAUUUUUGCUUUAUGAUUUGACCUCAAAUCAGGUAGGACUACCCGCUGAACUUAAGCAUAUCAAUAA
rnacentral:rRNA from 1 species